rnacentral:rRNA from 1 species
CCCAGACUCCUACGGGAGGCAGCAGUGGGGAAUAUUGCACAAUGGGGGAAACCCUGAUGCAGCGACGCCGCGUGAGCGAGGAAGUAUUUCGGUAUGUAAAGCUCUGUCAGCAGGGAAGAAGAAUGACGGUACCUGAAGAAGAAGCACCGGCUAAAUACGUGCCAGCAGCCGCGGUAAUACGUAUGGUGCAAGCGUUAUCCGGAUUUACUGGGUGUAAAGGGAGCGCAGGCGGUUCUGCAAGUCUGAUGUGAAAGCCCGGGGCUCAACCGCGGGACUGCAUUGGAAACUGCGGGACUGGAGUGUCGGAGGGGUAAGCGGAAUUCCUGGUGUAGCGGUGAAAUGCGUAGAUAUCAGGAGGAACACCGGUGGCGAAGGCGGCUUACUGGACGAUGACUGACGCUGAGGCUCGAAAGCGUGGGGAGCGAACAGGAUUAGAUACCCGAGUA